UACGUAGGGCGCAAGCGUUAUCCGGAAUUAUUGGGCGUAAAGAGCUCGUAGGCGGUUUGUCGCGUCUGCCGUGAAAGUCCGGGGCUCAACUCCGGAUCUGCGGUGGGUACGGGCAGACUAGAGUGAUGUAGGGGAGACUGGAAUUCCUGGUGUAGCGGUGAAAUGCGUAGAUAUCAGGAGGAAUACCAGUGGCGAAGGCGGCUUUCUGGGCCUACCCUGACGCUGAGGAGCGAAAGCGUGGGGAGCAAACCGG
rnacentral:rRNA from 1 species